rnacentral:rRNA from 1 species
GCAAGUCGAGGGGUAACAGAGAGAAGCUUGCUUCUUUGCUGACGACCGGCGCACGGGUGCGUAACGCGUAUGCAACCUACCCUGUACUGAGGGAUAGCCCGAAGAAAUUCGGAUUAACACCUCAUAGUAUUGUUACACCGCAUGGUGUUGACAAUUAAAGGUUACGGUACAGGAUGGGCAUGCGUCCUAUUAGCUAGAUGGUAAGGUAACGGCUUACCAUGGCAACGAUAGGUAGGGGUUCUGAGAGGAUAGUC